CUCAUUUGUUUGUCCUUUAUUUUGCUUGUUUUUUCAAUGAAUUUUGGAAAUCAAAUGACGAUGCCUGAGGCAAAACCAUGUGAAAUCUACGCACGUCAUUUUUGUCGUAAAUGGGAGGUUUUGAUUUGCAAAGCAUUUUGCAAGAUUGAAUGCAAAAAUAUACAUGCGACCGGAAAAUGUUUCGAUGACAAAUCUUGUCAUUGUUAUUGUUGUUAAGUUAUUGUUAUUUUAUAUAUAGUAGCAUUGGAAGGUUCCACCUUUCAAAUGUGCAAUAUGAUGAAAUAAUAAAUAAAGUGGUUGGUUGUACUUUUUUCUUAGUUUUGGUAUUUAUAUGGUUUUAUGCUCGUGUUGAA